AUGAACGCUGGCGGCGUGCCUAAUACAUGCAAGUCGAGCGAAUGGACGAGAAGCUUGCUUCUCUGAUGUUAGCGGCGGACGGGUGAGUAACACGUGGAUAACCUACCUAUAAGACUGGGAUAACUUCGGGAAGCCGGAGCUAAUACCGGAUAAUAUUUUGAACCGCAUGGUUCAAAAGUGAAAGACGGUCUUGCUGUCACUUAUAGAUGGAUCCGCGCUGCAUUAGCUAGUUGGUAAGGUAACGGCUUACCAAGGCAACGAUGCAUAGCCGACCUGAGAGGGUGAUCGGCCACACUGGAACUGAGACACGGUCCAGACUCCUACGGGAGGCAGCAGUAGGGAAUCUUCCGCAAUGGGCGAAAGCCUGACGGAGCAACGCCGCGUGAGUGAUGAAGGUCUUCGGAUCGUAAAACUCUGUUAUUAGGGAAGAACAUAUGUGUAAGUAACUGUGCACAUCUUGACGGUACCUAAUCAGAAAGCCACGGCUAACUACGUG
rnacentral:rRNA from 1 species